AUAAAAACAAACAAGUAACUGGUAUGGAUAAUUUUGUGGAAUAAGCAUCUUGUAACAAAUUGCAGAGUACUACAUGUAUAGAAAAUAUCUUGUUCGUCAUAAACGUGACAGUUAAUAUCAUAUGAUAUAAAUUACUAUGAAAUCACCAGAGACCUUACUCUUAUUUUGUAGAUAAAUGCUAAACGUGAUAAAAUAUGCACACUUUCAAAGAGUCUCACACAAAAAUACAAUAUAAGACCAGAUCAUAAAACUCUCAUGCACUCUGAAUUUCUCGUGAACCAUACUAUUCACAGCAAUACUACUCAGGUUAUUCGUGAUUAACAUAUAAAAGUCACUGACAGGUAUUCAUACAAUCUCAUUUGGUUAUCUAUGCCUUACUAUUCCAAUUUCCAUGUUUUGGGGGUAUUAAACUUAUUUCACUAACAAUCCGCACUACAGAAAAAACAAUGUUCAUUUCUUAAAAUAAAGUGUAGUUUUUCUUUAUAAAGUUUUGACAAUACGAUUAAGUCUUUAACUAAUCCUUGCAACUUUCGAAAUUACAAACAAAAGUUUUAUACGAUACGCAAAAUCCU
rnacentral:lncRNA from 1 species